GAUAGUCGAUUCUACAUCAAGGCAUAUGCGUCACUACCUCGGUAUAAAUGCGCAAUACUCGAACAAUGAUGAAAUUGCUGUGAUCAAUCUUGACAUCAUUGAUACGAAGGGAAAACAAACAACGGAAUACCGACGGAAUACACAAAAAAAUUAUUGAGAAGUGUUUAGAUAAUAUUGGAAUCAAUAAAACUAAUAUUUAAGGCCUUAUUGUUGACAACGCAGCAGUGAAUAUAAAGUUGAUGCGCGACUUUGGCAUCAGCACCGUUUAGGAAACUGUAGAUAACGAAGACGAUUUUUCAGUAGAAACUAAUGAAUUUGACGAAGAUGGUUAUUCUAAAGCAGACAAUGCAGCAACAGUCUUGGCAAGUGGAGUUGCCAGUAGCAUAAGUGUUAUACAUCUUCAAAGAUGUGCUGUCCACACUUUACAGCUAGCCGUAAAUGAUGCAUUAAAAGGCCCACAAUAAAAAUAUCUAAUUAA